ACGUAGAAGGAGAGGUUGAACGGAUGAACUAGCUCUGAAUAAUUGCAGCUUGUCCAUUUGGAUGUUGUGAGCUUCUUCCCAAUCAUCACACCCUAAAUCUAAUCCCCAAAUUUAUCAAACAAAUACCAAAUUGAACUAUCAAAUUCAUUUCUUAUCAGUUAUCACUCACUAACACUCUUCACUGUUUUACUUAACCAAGCCGCUUAACCAUGCCGGUUUUCAAAACCCCAUUUAACGGUUACUCCGUCAAGUUCAGCCCCUUCUACGAGAACCGCCUCGCCGUCGCCACCGCUCAGAACUUCGGCAUCCUCGGCAAUGGCCGUCUACACGUUCUCGACCUCUCUCCGGACCCCUCCCUCCCUAUCACCGAACUCGUCGCCUACGACACCGCCGACGGCGUCUACGACGUCACCUGGUCCGAAUCUCACGACUCUAUCGUAGUCGCCGCCGUGGCCGACGGCUCCGUCAAACUCUACGACCUGGCACUCCCUCCCACCUCGAACCCUAUACGGUCCUUCCACGAACACACGCGCGAGGUGCACUCCGUGGAUUACAACCCCGUUCGCCGCGACUCCUUCCUCUCUUCCUCUUGGGACGACACAGUCAAGCUCUGGACCCUUGAUCGUCCCACCAGCGUUCGAACCUUCAAGGAACACGCCUACUGCGUUUACUCCUCCAUCUGGAACCCUCGCCACGCCGAUGUCUUCGCCUCCGCUUCCGGAGAUUGCACCGUUCGCAUCUGGGACGUUCGCGAACCCGGUUCAACCAUGAUUCUCCCCGCGCACGAGUUCGAGAUCUUGGCUUGCGAUUGGAAUAAGUACGAUGAUUGUGUUAUCGCCACUGCUUCGGUGGAUAAGUCUCUGAAGGUGUGGGAUGUGAGGAACUAUAGGGUUCCUCUGACUGUGCUGAACGGGCACGGGUAUGCUGUGAGGAAGGUGAAGUUUUCGCCGCACGUGCGGAAUUUGAUGGUGUCUUGUUCUUAUGAUAUGACGGUUUGUGUUUGGGAUUUCAUGGUGGAGGAUGCUCUGGUGAGUAGGUAUGAUCAUCACACUGAGUUUGCUGUUGGGGUUGAUAUGAGUGUGCUUGUGGAGGGUCUCAUGGCUAGCACUGGUUGGGAUGAGCUUGUUUAUGUGUGGCAGCAGGGAACUGACCCCAGGGCACCUUAGAAGAGGGAACAAGUGGGGAAGAAGCAAGAUGAUGAAGUUUAGAUGUUCGUAAAAUUGGAGCCAAGUCACGCUCAUAAUGCGUUUUGCAUUCUGGAUGUCUUACCAUUGCGUGCAACUCUAAAUUAAAUUCUACGUGCUCUGGAAGGUUGGAAUAGUCUGGUACAAUGGUGAAUUAUCGAUGGCAACAGGUCCUUCGGUUAUUUUGGUUGCAACCACGCCAACAUCUGAACAUGGUAUACAAUGCUUUUGCACUUUGUCAAAUGUUUAUGAAGAAAUUAAGAUUACAGAAAUUUGGGGCCUUUAAACCUUAAACUCAAAGAAUCAUUGUUCUGGUUCAGCUGAGAGUAGUUCUAUGCAAGUUGUGGUAGCAAAGAUGAGUUUUAGAACACUGAUAACCAACAUUUUGAUUUUGACAUUCUUGUUCAUCUUAUCCUCUCAUGAUUGAGAUGUACAUUCACCUACUUUCUACUUUCAAUUAGAAAAUUGUUUCAUUAAUGU